rfam:Triticum aestivum genome assembly, contig: Triticum_aestivum_CS42_TGACv1_scaffold_424799_5BS
UUUCUACUCCCUCCGUCCGAAAGAACUUGUCCCAAGCCUGUUCCGUAAAUGGAUAUAUCUAGCACUAACUGGUGCUAGAUACAUUUAUUUGAGGGACAAGUUUUUAAGGACGGAGGGAGUACUAG